GAGGCAGAGGCCCGAUGCGCGCCGGAAGCUCGUCGUGCGAGCCAUGGCGAAGAACAUCGCCUUUGAUCAGAGUUCCAGGUCGGCUCUUCAGGCCGGCGUCGAGAAGCUUGCUAAUGCUGUCGGUGUAACCCUUGGUCCUAGAGGGAGAAACGUCGUGUUAUAUGAGUAUGGAGCUCCAAAAGUUGUCAGUGAUGGUGUAACUAUUGCCCGUGCCAUUGAGCUAUGGAAAAUGCUGGUGCAACUUUGAUUCGUGAGCUGUUGAAUCAAUUUCUGUUGGCAAUGAUGAAUUCCUAGGAACUAUGAUUGCUGAUGCUAUUGAUAAAGUUGGUUCUGAUGGUAUGCUAUCUAUUGAGUCCUCAUCCUCAUUUGAAACUACUGUUGAAGUUGAAGAAGAGA